rnacentral:rRNA from 1 species
CAGUAGCCACGGUAAUACGUAGGUGGCAAGCGUUGUCCGGAAUUAUUGGGCGUAAAGGGCUCGCAGGCGGUUUCUUAAGUCUGAUGUGAAAGCCCCCGGCUCAACCGGGGAGGGUCAUUGGAAACUGGGAAACUUGAGUGCAGAAGAGGAGAGUGGAAUUCCACGUGUAGCGGUGAUAUGCGUAGAUAUUCGGAAGAACACCAGUGGCGAAGGCGACACACUGGCCCAUUACUGACGCUGAGGCUCGAAAGCGUGGGGAGCAAAUGGGAUUAGAGACCCCAGUAGUCCCUGUCUCUUAUAC